AAUCAACGCUGGCGGCGUGCCUAACACAUGCAAGUCGAACGCGAAAGUCCCGCAAGGGAUAAGUAGAGUGGCAAACGGGUGAGUAACGCGUGGGUGACCUGCCUUCGAGCGGGGGAUAACGUCCCGAAAGGGACGCUAAUACCGCAUAACAUCCUGCCUUUGAAGAGGUGGAGAUCAAAGCUGGGGAUUCGCAAGAACCCGGCACUUGAAGAGGGGCCCGCGUCUGAUUAGCAGUUGGUGAGGUAACGGCUCACCAAGGCUUCGAUCAGUAGCCGGCCUGAGAGGGCGGACGGCCACACUGGGACUGAGACACGGCCCAGACUCCUACGGGAGGCAGCAGUGGGGAAUAUUGGACAAUGGGCGCAAGCCUGAUCCAGCCACGCCGCGUGAGUGAUGAAGGCC
rnacentral:rRNA from 1 species